rnacentral:rRNA from 1 species
GACGAACGCUGGCGGCGUGCCUAAUACAUGCAAGUCGAACGCACUCUCGUUUAGAUUGAAGGAGUUUGCUCCUGAUUGAUAAACAUUUGAGUGAGUGGCGGACGGGUGAGUAACACGUGGGUAACCUGCCCUAAAGUGGGGGAUAACAUUCGGAAACAGAUGCUAAUACCGCAUAAAACCUAACACCGCAUGGUGUAGGGUUGAAAGAUGGUUUCGGCUAUCACUUUAGGAUGGACCCGCGGUGCAUUAGUUAGUUGGUGAGGUAAAGGCUCACCAAGACCGUGAUGCAUAGCCGACCUGAGAGGGUAAUCGGCCACACUGGGACUGAGACACGGCCCAGACUCCUACGGGAGGCAGCAGUAGGGAAUCUUCCACAAUGGACGAAAGUCUGAUGGAGCAACGCCGCGUGAGUGAAGAAGGUUUUCGGAUCGUAAAACUCUGUUGUUGGAGAAGAAUGUAUCUGAUAGUAACUGAUCAGGUAGUGACGGUAUCCAACCAGAAAGCCACGGCUAACUACGUG